GAUGAAGAACGCAGCGAAAUGCGAUAAGUAAUGUGAAUUGCAGAAUUCAGUGAAUCAUCGAAUCUUUGAACGCACCUUGCGCCCUUUGGCCAUUCCGAAGGGCAUGCCUGUUUGAGUAUCAUGAACACCUCAACUCUCAUGGCUCGCCAUGAUGAGCUUGGAUUUGGGGGUCUUGCUGGCCUGUGGUCGGCUCCUCUCAAAUGGAUCAGCUUGCCAGUGUUUGGUGGCAUCACAGGUGUGAUAACUAUCUGCGCUUGUGGUUUUCCAUCAGAUAACCUUCAGUGAUGGAGGUUCGCUGGAGCUCAUAAACGUCUCCCCUAAGCGGGGACAGCCCUUUGAAUGUUUGAUCUCAAAUCAGGUAGGACUACCCGCUGAACUUAAGCAUAUCAAUAAGCGGAAGA
rnacentral:misc_RNA from 1 species